CUGCCAUGAUGCAAAGAAGUCCAAGCUAUCUUGCUAAAAUUAGGAGCCACACAGAACGGCCCUGGAAGAUGAAAUACCACAUACAGAGAGAGGCCACGUGAAGGAGAACCAAAGCACCCAGCCAAGAGUCAGCACCAAAACACCAAUCCAGUGAGACAAGCCAUGUUGGAGCUUCCAGCCCAGCCCAGCCACCGUCUUUAAUCAGCUGCAUGAAUAACAGCCAUCACUAUAUGUAACAAGACCACCAAUCAACCCACUGAAUCAGCUUCUACUCUACUCUCAACAUAUCCCAAAAGCCACCAUCUCCUCUUGAGGCUACAAAAAAAAUCCCGAAUUACGAAACUCAGGAUUUCAGCACUAUACAUUCAGUAAAUACACCUAAAGAAGUAUUUUUUUAUUUAUUUUUAAGGCAGAGUAUCACUAUUGUCACCCAGGCUGGAGUGCAGUGGAGCGAACUCGCCUCACUGCAAUCUCUGUCUCCCAGGCUCAAGUGAUUCUCGUGCCUCAGCCUCCUGAGCAGCUGGACCACAAGCGCACACCCCCUCGCCUGGCAAAUUUUUGUAAUUUUUGAAGAAACGGGGUUUUGUCAUGUUGCCCAGGCUUGAUCUUCAACUCCUAAGCUCAAGUGAUCCACCCACCUCAGCCUCCCAAAGUGCUGGGAUUACAGGCGUGAACCACCGUGCCCAGCCAAGAAGUAUUUAUUAAGUACCAACAUUGUGCUACUCCAGCUCGGCUUUAGACCAGUACUUCCUGAACAGUCUGACAAAUGUUCAGAUAAACAAGGCUACUGGGGUUUUCGUUUUAACCCAAGAUGUCUCAGAGACUUUUAGGACACUCAUAUGUAUUGGGACUGUCCCAAAAUUAAGUAUACAAUAUAGCUUUUCCAAAAUUGAUUUGACAACCGAAUCCUCUUCCCUUCAGAAUACCUGAAAACAUUUCACUGAACACUUGAAUUUACUCAUGCAAUAAAUACUUUUUAAGCAUCAGCUUAACUCCCACUGUUGAAUGAGGGGGAUAAGGCAGUGAUUGAGACAGACGCAGGUUCUGACUAUGGGAAGUUUGCUCCCUGGAAUGGACUUUCUCCAUAAGAGCUUUCUUCACCUCAGAUAUAACAGGAUUUGAGAGGAAGGUGAUUACAGGACUAGGCACUGCUUUAAGGGCAGGUACAUGAAAUCAACCCCAAUCAGAAUUGACCUCUAACAGGAAAAGAUAGAAGAUCAAAAUAAUGACUAGUUGAAGUUUCAGCCCUACUAGGCCAGGAAAUAAAUAUAAUUCUGUAUUUAUUUUUCACACCUCGACAAAGAAGCCAGAUUGUUAAAAGGAAUACAAGUCAGCCAUUGACAGGCUGCAGUAAGAGGCUGUGGAAACACGUUGUUGCUUACAACACCAAGAUCACAAUGGGCAAGAGAUUAUGUUCAAUUCCACUGAACUUAUCAAAUCAAACAGGAAAUUCACAGACCAUCAAAAUGGUAAAAGGGUAAUGUCUUCACCACUGUACAUCUGCUUCUUAACAAUAAAUUUUAGUUAGCGACGUAGGCUCACCACUAUUUGGGAAUUAGUUUCUCCCACAAAAUUUAUAAAGAGCAGGGGUGGUUUCCUGGGACCAUUUCACCCCCGGCUGCAGCACAUAGAGUGAUACCAAUGUCAUGGAAGAAGGAAAGAAUCAGUUGACAACAUAAAGCAAAGGCAGGUCCCCAUGGCUGUCAUGUUCCCCUAAGCCUCAUAAUUCCUACUUGUUCUGUUGAGUCACUCGCACCCUCCCCCAUGCCCCACCCAGCUGUGUUUCAUUUCCCGAUAUAUUUUAAGGAGCUUGUUUUGACACUUGGGCUUUUUUUUUUUGGUUGUUGUCUCCUAAUUUCUCAUCUAUC
rnacentral:lncRNA from 1 species